GUUCGAUAAUGGCAAACUGGUCGAAAGACCGGGACGCAAAGCCACUGGCCUAAGUCCCCUCUGAGGAUACGGUAGCAGGGUCGCCGGG
rfam:Syntrophobacter fumaroxidans MPOB, complete genome.